GCUCACCCAGGCGACGACGGGUAGCUGGUCUGAGAGGACGAUCAGCCACACUGGGACUGAGACACGGCCCAGACUCCUACGGGAGGCAGCAGUGGGGAAUCUUGCGCAAUGGGCGAAAGCCUGACGCAGCAACGCCGCGUGGGGGAUGAAUGCCUUCGGGUUGUAAACCCCUUUCAGUGGGAACGAAAUUGACGGUACCCACAGAAGAAGCCCCGGCCAACUACGUGCCAGCAGCCGCGGUGAUACGUAGGGGGCGAGCGUUGUCCGGAUUCAUUGGGCGUAAAGAGCUCGUAGGCGGCUUGGUAAGUCGGGUGUGAAACCUCCAGGCUCAACCUGGAGACGCCACUCGAGACUGCCCUGGCUGGAGUCCGGUAGGGGACCACGGAAUUCCUGGUGUAGCGGUGAAAUGCGCAGAUAUCAGGAGGAACACCAGUGGCGAAGGCGGUGGUCUGGGCCGGUACUGACGCUGAGGAGCGAAAGCGUGGGGAGCGAACAGGAUUAGAUACCCUGGUAGUCCACGCCGUAAACGUUGGGCACUAGGUGUGGGACCUUAUCAACGGGUUCCGUGCCCCAGCUAACGCAUUAA
rnacentral:rRNA from 1 species